UGGGGUAUCGCCAAGCGGUAAGGCACCGGUUUUUGAUACCGGCAUUCCCUGGUUCGAAUCCAGGUACCCAG
rnacentral:tRNA from 3 species